rnacentral:lncRNA from 1 species
GGAGUGCUGCUCCUUGUGUGUGUGGGGCUGGGUGGUGGUUGGUGCGGCAGGGCGGCUACUCAGCUGCAGCAGUGCAGGUGCCAUCCUGUGGAAGAACCAUGAAGCACUACGAGGUGGAGAUUCGGGAUGCAAAGACGAGGGAGAAGCUGUGCUUCCUGGACAAGGCUCUCCAGCAGCAACAAUAAAACCUGCUUACCCAAA